AUUGAACGCUGGCGGCAGGCCUAACACAUGCAAGUCGAACGGUAACAGGAAGACGCUUGCUUCUUUGCUGACGAGUGGCGGACGGGUGAGUAAUGUCUGGGAAACUGCCUGAUGGCGGGGGAUAACUACUGGAAACGGUAGCUAAUACCGCAUAAUGUCGCAAGACCAAAGAGGGGGACCUUCGGGCCUCUUGCCAUCGGAUGUGCCCAGAUGGGAUUAGCUAGUAGGUGGGGUAACGGCUCACCUAGGCGACGAUCCCUAGCUGGUCUGAGAGGAUGACCAGCCACACUGGAACUGAGACACGGUCCAGACUCCUACGGGAGGCAGCAGUGGGGAAUAUUGCACAAUGGGCGCAAGCCUGAUGCAGCUAUGCCGCGUGUAUGAAGAAGGCCUUCGGGUUGUAAAGUACUUUCAGCGGGGAGGAAGGGAGUAAAGUUAAUACCUUUGCUCAUUGACGUUACCCGCAGAAGAAGCACCGGCUAACUCCGUG
rnacentral:rRNA from 1 species